CUGCCCUGCACUUUGGGAUAAGCCUGGGAAACUGGGUCUAAUACCGAAUAUACCCUGCUGGUCGCAUGGCCUGGUGGGGGAAAGCUUUUGCGGUGUGGGAUGGGCCCGCGGCCUAUCAGCUUGUUGGUGGGGUGAUGGCCUACCAAGGCGACGACGGGUAGCCGGCCUGAGAGGGUGUCCGGCCACACUGGGACUGAGAUACGGCCCAGACUCCUACGGGAGGCAGCAGUGGGGAAUAUUGCACAAUGGGCGCAAGCCUGAUGCAGCGACGCCGCGUGAGGGACGACGGCCUUCGGGUUGUAAACCUCUUUCAGCACAGACGAAGCGCAAGUGACGGUAUGUGCAGAAGAAGCACCGGCCAACUACGUG
rnacentral:rRNA from 1 species